rnacentral:lncRNA from 1 species
AGGGAAAGUGAAGGGGCUAAAAGAAGGAAAUGUGACAAAGCAGGAGAAGGAGGCAGAGAAAAGGGUGGGCGUGGGAGAUAUAACGGUAAGAGAAGAAUAUUCGGGAGGUCAGUUCUGGAAUAUCCGUUUGUUUAGAAAGGGUAUAUCUCUGGUUUUAUUCCAUUUUGAGAGAUUAGAUAUUAUAUUUUAUUGCGGCUUUUGUUUAUUUUAUUUUAUUUUAUCUUUUUAAAUAUCUCUCUUCUGCCCUUUUUUAAUUUGACACGUGGCAAAUUUCUCACUUUUGUAGCGGCUCGAGAGUGUCUAUUUCGUUCGUCUUGUCUAUAACCGCGGGAAGAUGGCGCAUGAGAUGAGCCAAAUAAUUAUUUAGUUUCAAGUAAGUGCAAAAUAGCUAUAGCUAGAUGCUAAUCUCACGGCACUGUGAUGCAUGAUAAAUGACUUGGCUUCACUGAGUAUGGUUUCAACUCCCAUGUCAUAUGCAGUUAGAACGACAACUAACUUAACUACACAACCACCAAUAUGACUUUAGACACAUAGUGAAGGUGACUGAACACGGAGAAUCUGGUUGUAAAUUGUACGCUAGCUGGCAAUAUUAUUUCACCAAGUUGGUAAUUUAAAAUUUAUUUAGUAAAUUUAGUAUAUUCUUUUCGAUUUCACUUAAUAAGGAAUUUAGUUGCAACCAAAUAAGUGAGAGAUUUAUUUAUAUUGUUGUAUAUAGGAGUGGGUAUAAACCCAUAACCCAUGGGUUUACCCAAACCCAAAUCAAAUUAAAUAGUUUCGGUUGAGUAAAUCAUGAAAAUGUGUUAGAUGUGGGUUUUAUAUAGAAAAUCAUUUCAUUAUGGGUUGGGUAUGGUUUACCCAUGGGUCAUGGACAAAACCUCAACACUCAAAUUUUUCAAAUGAAAUAAAUGAAAACAAAAUAAAUGAACACAAAUAAGUGAAAGGCCACCAUUAAAUUUUUUACGGCGUGAUCAAUUAUCAACAGUUAAAAAAUGAAAAUAACAGUAAAAAAAAUUUAAAUUGAAUAAAUAUUGUUGUAAAUAACAUAAUUUUUUUUCUUAUUUACAAAAAUAAUUCCUCCCACAUGAAAUGAUUAUCAUAGAAAGAGCAUGAGACUCUACUAGUGAUCAAUAAUAACUCGGCUUGGACUGCGUCCGAUAUGCUAGAUGGCGGCUAAUUUUUGGUCAAUAAUUGAAUGUAAUGCCCAUACUAGGCCCUGUACAAAACUUUGCUUAUCAUAUAAUGAAAUUAGAACAUAAAGCACACACACUAUAUAAUAUCAGAAUGUAAAUAAAAUUAAAGGGGAUUGCCACUUUCCCCCUUACAAUAAUUAACAUAUACCAUUUACUCCAUUUCUGUUUUUAAAUGGCCAAAAAUCUCCCUGACAACAUAAGUUUACAAUAUUACCAUUAUUUUUAACUACUCUUUUAUUUACAUUUAUUAUAAAAAACCCAAAUGAUUUGGUUUGGGUUGGGUUAAAAAUAUUUGGGUUAGUUUGGGUUGGAUUCAAAUUUUUAUGAUUUGGUUUGGGAUGACUUAAAAUCCAACCCAAACCAACUCAUGUCCACCCCUAGUUGUAUAUUAACUAUAAUAUAGACAUUUAAAGUUUUAUUUUGAUUAAGAUUUUCUCCUUUUUUUUCUUCUUAUAAUAUUUUUAAUAUUGUAGGAUUACGAUAAUAAAAUCUGUCAAAUCUAUCUCAAAAUAUUCUAAGAAGAAUUUUUCAUAAUAAUGCACAUAACUCAGGACCCUUUCCAGAUAUAUGAAAAAUGAGGUGGAAAUCAAUUAGUGGUUGGUUUGUUGUAUUCACUAAUAUAUAGACGUUUGAAAAGUCCAUAGAUAUUUAUUGAUAAUAUCAUGUUAAAUUGUAAAUGAUUUCUUUAAACAAUAUUUGAAUGUAAUGUAAUUUUUGUUUGUUGUAUCUAUGCAUCAACGUGAACUGAUUGUAUUAAAUUAUUAUAGUGCCCCCAAAAGUAUCUUCUAAAAAUAACACCGUAACAAAAUGUUAUAAAAACUAUAAUGUUAUAAAAAAAUUUACUAAAGUUUAAAUUUGUUAAAUUCUAUCCUAACAAAUAAAUUUAAUUUUUUUUUAAUUUCACCCUAACAAAAUGGCCAUCUAAAUAAUUUGUGUUUACUUUUGUUUAUUAUUUUAUAAGGGUAAUGAAUUUUUUAUAAUGAAUGGCUGAUAUAAAUUAUAUAUAUUAAGGGUGUAAAAUCAAAUAAAUUUAAAUUUUUAUAAUAUUUUAAAAUUUUAAUAAUAAGAUAAACUUUAAAUGAACAACCAAUAAUUUUAAUAGGUAAUAUUGAACUUCUCUUUUUGUCUUUACUGCUGUCUAUUGGAGGUUUAUAUGCUGAAGCUAUGGCCCGCAGCCUGGAGCCAGAGCCACAGAUGGUGUUGAAACGAAGCCGAGCCAAGCAAUUAUUGGCUUUUGGCUUUGCGCAUUUAUGACGCAUGGUAUAAUUCUGAAAGGCUUGCGGAAUAUCCAUGCCUCUGUCACCUUCAAAAAUCAAAACCACAAGCGUGGUGGAUUGCGGUGGUGGGCCUUCGAUCUUCACAUCCAGCUUGUCAUAAAACGACAGCGCAACGUCGCAAGAACUGGGGAAAAGUCAAAUCAAAGGGAUAAAUUUGGAACUGAUGAUAGCCCGCAAUGACCUGGGCUCUCCCCGCGUAACAUGUAGUCACGAACGUUGGAGCUUGAAGGCUAUAUUAGUAAUUUCAGGUGGGGAAAUUUGUCAUUUUCAUAGACGAUUCGGAUCCGUGAGAGGGGGGAUAUUCUUGAAACUGAACCUGGAAUCUACUCUCUGCAUCAUCGGUAAAAAAAAGAAAAAAAAUGGUCCCUCAAUUUUCCAACUCUUCUUUUAUUUAUUUAUUUAUUUUUAUUUAAAAGGAUUUCCCAUUUUAGAGUAUUAUUAUCCCAUCAUUCCUU